UGAACGCUGGCGGAAUGCUUUACACAUGCAAGUCGAACGGCAGCACGGAGAGCUUGCUCUCUGGUGGCGAGUGGCGAACGGGUGAGUAAUAUAUCGGAACGUGUCCAAUAAUGGGGGAUAACGAGUCGAAAGAUUCGCUAAUACCGCAUACGACCUACGGGUGAAAGCGGGGGACCGUAAGGCCUCGCGCUAUUGGAUUGGCCGAUGUCUGAUUAGCUUGUUGGCGGGGUAAAAGCCCACCAAGGCGACGAUCAGUAGCUGGUCUGAGAGGACGAUCAGCCACACUGGGACUGAGACACGGCCCAGACUCCUACGGGAGGCAGCAGUGGGGAAUUUUGGGCAAUGGGGGCAACCCUGAUCCAGCAAUGCCGCGUGUGCGAAGAAGGCCUUCGGUUGUAAAGCACUUUGUCAGGAAGAAUCUUUAGGCGAAUAACCUGGAAGGAUGACGGUACCUGAAGAAUAAGCACCGGCUAACUACGUGCCAGCAG
rnacentral:rRNA from 1 species